AUUUGCUGCUAAAAUAGUUUUGAUUGAUUUAUUUUUUGGAUCUCUUGGUUUUCUUUUUCGUAAUGUUUUAGCUUUGGUUCAUGUUCACUGUUUUCAGAAGAGCUUUUAACAGCAGGCAGCUGCUGAAAGUGAUGCUAGACUAACCCCCAAAACAACCCGCCGACAUCUGGUGACCUACAAGGCUGAACGGACUAAAACACACCCAAAUGACAGGAUUUUAUUCUAUCAGGACCGUGCAAGCUGCCGUCGGGAGAUGCAGAAUCUUGCUUGAAACUCAUCAAAUAAAAGAGACAUUUGAAAGCAUUUUUUAUAAAGAUACAUACAAGCCGGUUCCUGCAGACCGGAAGCAGAAUGGAUCGCCACACUAACUGUCCCACAUAACGAAUUUUCAUCUUCUGCUGGAAAUGUUUCUUUGAUAGAAGGAAGAAAAAGGCUUAUGGUGGGAGGAGGUGAGUGUACCUGCAAUAGAGCUGUGAAGAUGGGGCUGCUGGGUCAUUCUCAGUUUCACACACGCACUGGUGAGAG